UACGGAGGGUGCAAGCGUUGUUCGGAAUCACUGGGCGUAAAGCGCGCGUAGGCGGCCUGGCAAGUCGGUUGUGAAAUCCCGGGGCCCAACCCCGGAACUGCAUUCGAAACUGCCUCGCUAGAGUCCCGGAGAGGAAGGCGGAAUUCCCGGUGUAGAGGUGAAAUGCGUAGAUAUCGAGAGGAACACCGGUGGCGAAGGCGGCUGCCUGGACAGUGACUGACGCUGAGGCGCGAAAGCAUGGGGAGCAAACAGG
rnacentral:rRNA from 1 species